rfam:Hordeum vulgare subsp. vulgare, WGS project CAJW01000000 data, contig: morex_contig_1351928
AGGACGCACCUCUGGUGUACCAGUUAUCGUGCCUACGGUAAACGCUGGGUAGCCAAGUGCGGAGAGGAUAACUGCUGAAAGCAUAUAAGUAGUAAGCCCACCCCAAGAUGAGUGCUC